GACGAACGCUGGCGGCGUGCUUAACACAUGCAAGUCGUACGGUAAGGCCCUUUCGGGGGUACACGAGUGGCGAACGGGUGAGUAACACGUGAGUAACCUGCCCACAACUUUGGGAUAACGCUAGGAAACUGGUGCUAAUACUGGAUAUGUGCUCCUGCUGCAUGGUGGGGGUUGGAAAGCUCCGGCGGUUGUGGAUGGACUCGCGGCCUAUCAGCUUGUUGGUGGGGUAGUGGCCUACCAAGGCGGCGACGGGUAGCCGGCCUGAGAGGGUGACCGGCCACAUUGGGACUGAGAUACGGCCCAGACUCCUACGGGAGGCAGCAGUGGGGAAUAUUGCACAAUGGGCGCAAGCCUGAUGCAGCAACGCCGCGUGCGGGAUGACGGCCUUCGGGUUGAAAACCGCUUUCAGCAGGGACGAAGCUUUUUGUGACGGUACCUGCAGAAGAAGCACCGGCUAACUUCGUG
rnacentral:rRNA from 1 species